rnacentral:rRNA from 1 species
UACAGAGGGUGCAAGCGUUGUUCGGAAUUAUUGGGCGUAAAGGGCGCGUAGGCGGUGCGGUAAGUCUGUAGUGAAAUCUCUGGGCUCAACUCAGAGUCUGCUGCAGAAACUGCCGUGCUUGAGUGUGGGAGAGGUGAGUGGAAUUCCCGGUGUAGCGGUGAAAUGCGUAGAUAGUCGGGAGGAACACCUGUGGCGAAAGCGGCUCACUGGACCACAACUGACGCUGAGGCGCGAAAGCUAGGGGAGCAAACAGG